rnacentral:rRNA from 1 species
UACGUAGGAGGCGAGCGUUUGUCCGGAUUUACUGGGCGUAAAGAACGCGUAGGCGGUUCGUUAAGUCUGCUGUGAAAGCCCCGGGCUCAACCUGGGAAUGGCAGUGGAUACUGGCGAGCUAGAGUGUGAUAGAGGAUGGUGGAAUUCCCGGUGUAGCGGUGAAAUGCGUAGAGAUCGGGAGGAACAUCAGUGGCGAAGGCGGCCAUCUGGAUCAACACUGACGCUGAGGCACGAAAGCGUGGGGAGCAAACAGG